rnacentral:tRNA from 1 species
AUUACUUUGACAGAUUAGUGUUUUGGGUUUAGAAUUCAAAUAUGUAAUAUUAAAAUUACAAGUAAUA